rnacentral:lncRNA from 1 species
CGAGAAAAUUACUGUAAGUGUUCAUCGUUUCGCCCCGACUCUCAAUCUUCUCCGAUGGCCAAGAGACUGGUUCGGAUUGGUGGAUGAUAGAUGGAAUUAUUGGGUUAUUCAAUGCGGCUCGGGAUUCAUAACCGAUUAAAAAGCGAUAUACAUUUAGAUUUCGUACUUUUUAUUGUGAAUCGUCUCUUCGAAUCACUACCGGAGAAAUCGAAGACUUCCGCAAAGGUAUCACUGAAAUUCUUGUUAAAUAUUUAUUUCUUUUGUUUUCACAGUAAAUUGCUUUCUUUAUAGUUUCUGGUGAUGAGUUUUCUGUUUUUUUUUUUUGGGAACUUUAUAAACAGCAGAGCUGCAAAUUUCGUUGUCGUGUUAAUGUCUAGUUUCUUUGUCAAAUCACAUUAGGUUCAGUGGAUUAAUGGAACUCUAAAAUGGUAAAAAUUAAUGCAAAAAGAUUCAGAGCUCUAUAUAGGUG